rnacentral:sRNA from 1 species
GCUGGGUAUGGUGGUGCACAUCUGUAAUCCUAGCAACUUGGGUGGCUGAGGCAGGAGGAUCAGAAGUUUGAGGCUAGCCUCUCAGCAAGUUGGUGAGGCCCUAAGCAACUCAGUAAGACCCUGUCCCAA